rnacentral:rRNA from 1 species
AUUGAACGCUGGCGGCAUGCCUUACACAUGCAAGUCGAACGGUAACAGGUUAAGCUGACGAGUGGCGAACGGGUGAGUAAUACAUCGGAACGUAUCCCGUAGUGGGGGACAACGCCGCGAAAGCGGCGCUAAUACCGCAUAUGCUCUACGGAGGAAAGUGGGGGACCUGAGAGGGCCUCACGCUAUGGGAGCGGCCGAUGUCCGAUUAGCUAGUUGGUGGGGUAAUGGCCCACCAAGGCGACGAUCGGUAGCUGGUCUGAGAGGAUGAUCAGCCACACUGGGACUGAGACACGGCCCAGACUCCUACGGGAGGCAGCAGUGGGGAAUUUUGGACAAUGGGGGCAACCCUGAUCCAGCCAUGCCGCGUGCGGGAAGAAGGCCUUCGGGUUGUAAACCGCUUUUAGUCGGGAAGAAAAGGCAUCUCCUAAUACGGGGUGUUCUUGACGGUACCGGCGGAAUAAGCACCGGCUAACUACGUGCCAGCAGCCGCCGUAAGAC